GCCCUGUGGCCGUCUCCACCUGGUUCCAUGUCACAGCCCCUUGAUACAUCUGGGCAACACUUUCUGAUCUGUUUCUACCCGCCAAAACCAAGCCUGAGGCAUUUUCUCAUAAACAAAUGGUGGCUGAGAAAGCUGAGAAGAGAUGAUGACAAUCUUUUGAGGCUGGGGAGAAAAAUGAAGUUCACAACUCAGCAAAGAGGAUGGGCUCUGAUAGAACUGGAAGCCAACAGUACCUGCCUCUGGUCACUAGGAAAAGCUAAUGAUUUUCACCAGGGCCAUAGGGGCCCUCUCAGCCUUAGCUGGUAAAGAACCCAAGGAAGAAGGGAGUUUUCCUUCACUGGACAUCUAUUGAUUACAAAUUACUGCACAGAGUUCUGCAUGAAGUUGAUUUCUUAAUUUUUACAGUAGACCUAUCAGAGAAAUGAGUAAGGGAGCCCAAUUGUAUCUCUCCUUGUAUCACUUCUGGUAACAUCCCAUCUGCCCAAGCAAGUCACACACUGAACCUAGAGUCAGGGAAGCAUGGAGUGGGGCAGAGAAUACAGAUACAGG
rnacentral:lncRNA from 1 species